UACGGAGGGCGCGAGCGUUACCCGGAUUUACUGGGCGUAAAGGGCGUGUAGGCGGCUUCGGGCGUCCCAUGUGAAAGGCCACGGCUCAACCGUGGAGGAGCGUGGGAUACGCUCAGGCUAGACGGUGGGAGAGGGUGGUGGAAUUCCCGGAGUAGCGGUGAAAUGCGCAGAUACCGGGAGGAACGCCGAUGGCGAAGGCAGCCACCUGGCUCACUUGUGACGCUGAGGAGCGAAAGCGUGGGGAGCAAACCGG
rnacentral:rRNA from 1 species